CGAUGAACCACUUCGGUGGGGAUUAGUGGCGAACGGGUGAGUAACACGUGGGCAAUCUGCCCUGCACUCCGGGACAAGCCCUGGAAACGGGGUCUAAUACCGGAUACGACGCGCUCGGGCAUCCGAUGCGCGUGGAAAGCUCCGGCGGUGCAGGAUGGGCCCGCGGCCUAUCAGCUGGUUGGUGAGGUAACGGCUCACCAAGGCGACGACGGGUAGCCGGCCUGAGAGGGCGACCGGCCACACUGGGACUGAGACACGGCCCAGACUCCUACGGGAGGCAGCAGUGGGGAAUAUUGCACAAUGGGCGCAAGCCUGAUGCAGCGACGCCGCGUGAGGGAUGACGGCCUUCGGGUUGUAAACCUCUUUCAGCAGGGAAGAAGCGCAAGUGACGGUACCUGCAGAAGAAGCGCCGGCUAACUACGUGCCAGCAGCCGGGGGUAAUUCCA
rnacentral:rRNA from 1 species